GACGAACGCUGGCGGCGUGCUUAACACAUGCAAGUCGAACGGUAAGGCCCCGCCUUUGUGGGGUGCUCGAGUGGCGAACGGGUGAGUAACACGUGAGUAACCUGCCCUUCACUUCGGGAUAACUCUAGGAAACUGGGGCUAAUACCGGAUAGGACCUCCUGCUGCAUGGUGGGGUGGGAAGUGUUUUGGCGGUUGGGGAUGGGCUCGCGGUCUAUCAGCUUGUUGGUGGGGUAAUGGCUUACCAAGGCCUCGACGGGUAGCCGGCCUGAGAGGGUGAACGGCCACAUUGGGACUGAGACACGGCCCAGACUCCUACGGGAGGCAGCAGUGGGGAAUAUUGCACAAUGGGCGGAAGCCUGAUGCAGCGACGCCGCGUGCGGGAUGACGGCCUUCGGGUUGUAAACCCCUUUCGCCAGUGACGAAGCGUGAGUGACGGUAGUGGGUGAAGAAGCACCGGCUAACUACGUG
rnacentral:rRNA from 1 species